rnacentral:lncRNA from 1 species
ACCUUGGAAUGGUCGAUAAGGGAAAGUUCAGCAGUGAGGUCAGAAAGAGACAUGGGUUUACCAUGUUUGUAGAGGACAUCUGGUAUGCCUAGCUGAAUCGCACAUUUUGCUGCUGAAGAGCUUAAGAAGUUGAACAUAUGGUUCCAGGUUUGAGUUUGAGCUAGGAGAAGAUCAAUGGAUCCAUUAUCAUUCAUUGACAUUAGACAAUUUUACUCGAUUAGAUUUGCCAUCUAAACCCACUAAUAAUACGUACUUAUAGGAUAAAUUCGCACAUUUUGCUGCUGAAGAGCUUAUGAAGUGGAACAUAUGGUUCCAGGUUUGAGUUUCAGCUAGGAGAGGAUCAAUGGAUCCAUUCUCAUUCAUUGACAUUCUUAAGAAAAUUUUACUUGAUU